rfam:Cucumis melo, WGS project CAJI01000000 data, contig: 28102
GUCUCUCUUUGAGAACAUACUCAAUAAAAUUGAAACGAUACAAAGAAAAUUAGCAUGGGUUUUGCACCAAGAAUGACACGCACAAAUGAAGAAAUGACCCCAAAGAUU